rnacentral:lncRNA from 1 species
GGAUAAGGAUUGGCUCUGAAGAUUGAGAUAGUCGGGCUUGAUUGGGAAACAAUAACAUGGUUUAUGUGCUCGUUCUGGGUAAAUAGAGUUUCUAUCAUUUAUGGUAGUUACUUGUUCCCCGGAUAGUUUAGUUACGUAGCCAAUUGUGGAACUUUCUUGCUAAAAUUUUUAAGAAUACUAAUUGGGUAAAACCAAUUAGAUCUUAUUAAUUAUAACGAUUAU